rnacentral:rRNA from 1 species
AACGAACGCUGGCGGCAGGCUUAACACAUGCAAGUCGAACGCCCCGCAAGGGGAGUGGCAGACGGGUGAGUAACACGUGGGAACGUACCCUUUACUACGGAAUAACGCAGGGAAACUUGUGCUAAUACCGUAUGUGCCCUUCGGGGAAAGAUUUAUCGGUAAAGGAUCGGCCCGCGUUGGAUUAGCUAGUUGGUGGGGUAAAGGCCUACCAAGGCGACGAUCCAUAGCUGGUCUGAGAGGAUGAUCAGCCACAUUGGGGACUGAGACACGGCCCAAACUCCUACGGGAGGCAGCAGUGGGGAAUAUUGGACAAUGGGCGCAAGCCUGAUCCAGCCAUGCCGCGUGAGUGAUGAAGGCCUUAGGGUUGUAAAGCUCCUUCACCCGGAGAAGAUAAUGACGGUAUCCGGAGAAGAAGACCCGG